UGAGCGUCACCUCCAGGAAUUUGGCGUCCUCAUCCACCAGAUAGUACUCCUUCUCCAGGCUGAUCCAUGACCAGUUGAGCCGGAAUGGCUGCGGCUUCAGCUUGUUUCCACCUGGAAGACAAAACUUUGACAUCAGUUUUUACAGUGCCUGGCUAGGGUUUCUCACCUCCUCACCCACAUACAUGUGUCAGUUCCCUGGCUCCUUUGCCUGCCCCUGGCUAGAGUCUUACCUCCUUACCAGUCUCAGGGAAUGGGCCAAAACAGGACAGAGAGAGAGAGACCCGUUUUUAAAUGGAUCACUUGCUGACAGUGACUCAGAUAGCUACUCACCAGAGUCGAGGAUUUGGUAGGUCAAUGCGGAGAAAAGACCCUUUGGAUAUUAACCCCUACAUAACAGAACACUAAGGAAAGGAAGCAGAACCAAUCCUCUGAGGGGUGACAGAGAACCUGUGAGAGGAGGCUAACUAAAGAAAUAAACUCUCACUAGGCUUUAUGGAGGACAACAGCACGGAGCAUCUGGUUCAUUCAUACACUGAGCCUGCAUUGGGGUUGGUUUUGCCUGGCUGAGGGAGAAAGGAGCUGUGGGCGUGCUGCUAUGUGACUGGGGAGAAUGAAAACACUGGAGGGAGGAGAUGGGGCCACUUCCUCAAACCCACAUGUCAACAUGGCGCGCCGGGCCAGCACCAAGACACAACAGGGCCAGGGCCAGGAUCAAACCACACUCCGCCAAGCCUGGAUGUCAAUGACGGUGGAUUGAACUGAACUGAUACCAACUAGUGGAUUUUUGGGGGCAUUGGUUAAAUUGGAUCGUUUCACUAUGUUGUUUACUCUAAAACACACGCGCACACACACACACACACACACACACACACACACACACACACACACACACACACACACACACACACACACACACACACACACACACACACACACACACACACACACACACACACACACACACACACACACACACACACACACACACACACACACACACACACACAAACAAAAGCCAUCCCCCAAGCUACAGUAUAGUAGCCAUGGAGUCCCAGUUUGACAUAGGAGCCCCUAGCACCUAACGGUGGCUAUCCUUGACCAUGCUCAUGUUUCUGACAGCUCCGGCUAAAAAUACAGGAAGCAUUCAUCAAGUUUGUCUCUGCCUGCCCCAAAUUCCACCAAGCUUGAUGAGUGUGCAUGUGGCCAAUUGAUAGACAAGAUGAGCCAGCUAACUUCAAAAGAAGAUUUUGAGUGUUUGAUUAAGUGUAUUUCCAUGUAGCCUGAGUGGAAAUAUCAAACACCUCUUGAGCAUCUUUGAAAUGUAAAAUGGAAGUGCAGUGACUGUUGACUUUCGUCCGUCACUGUACUUAUAACGUACAGUGCACAUAAACUAAAUGCUACAGACACAUUAGUCACACCUCAGUCCAUCACAUUAAGUACAAUAUUCACUUAUCUAGGAAGAAACUUGAUUUAUAAAACCUGUAUACCUUUCUGCUCAUAUCUCCUCAAACCCACAGAAUCUGAAGGAGUGUUUCUGUUCAGAACAGCACGUGUUCCUAGGCAGGCUGCCCAGUUUACACAGAGCUGAUAUUGAGCUUAGUGAGCCUGUAUUGUGUGUCAGAUAGGAUUAUCGUAUGAACAUGGUCGAAGACAAAAAGACUCUUUCGUUCUGGCAUCCAGACUGGCAGUCUAUCUGACAGCUUCUGGUUUCAGCUCUGACACUGUUACCCUCAAGACAUGUCAUAAUCGGGUAAUAAUGCCAUUUUGUCUUGUGGAUUGCAUAGAAAUACCAAUUUCUAACAUGGUGUAGUUUGUCUGGUGAAAUACUGUAGAUGAUGAGACUAUGUAAGUAAAAUAAUAUUGAAAACAAAGGAGUCAAUUGACCCGUAAGAAUUAGAAACAGACUGUUCUGCACUGGGGAAAUGAAUUAAUAUAAGUGCUAAUGACAAUAUUUAAUUUAAUUGAUCAGCUGCUGUUAUUUCUCAAUUGUCACUCAAUUAUCAGGGUGAAACAAGGUCUUGGAGUUCAUUUGAGUUUAAAUCCUCAGAAUAACCUAAAUCAACAUGUCGAUAAAAUAGGACAGGUGAGAUUUAAGGACAUCUAGCAUUUCCCACCUGACCUGAAGCCUGUUUAAAAACAGAGUUGGAUUUCCGACCGGGGGGCGGAUGGGAGUCAAUUGAAAAAAGAGCUGAGGAAAAGUCUUCCCUAACCAUGUCUCCAAUUUCCCAGACCUGAUAGAGACACUGUAUGUUGUGACACCAUGACAUCGCUGUGACGUUAUACAUACAUCAUGUUAUACAUAGAUGCACAGCCAGUGGAGGGGACCUCGAAGCCCUGGCUGUGUGAUAUCUGAGCCUUUGAAAACUCUAUGACAACUAUGACAAAGGCAAUGUCAUCAUCAUCCAUAUAUUUUGUGUGUCGUCCAAGAGAGUUGGUUGGCAGGCAGGCCUCAAAAACAAAUCAGCACCUGCUACAAUGACACAAGCACACAAACAUACCCUUUAAAAAAAUGACAAGGUGAUAUCACUACAAUCUGAGCUGUCUGUGUAUAAUGAAUUACACUAAUAUCACAUUCCAUCCCCCAGGUGGACAUGGUCAGAGCCAUAGACGUGACCGUAAGAUAGGGGGCUUCAGAUCUGGCUGGUGUGACACUCCAGUCAGCCAUUGUCAUGAAAAUGUGUCCACUCUGCCCACAGUGAACCUAAAGCUCUGCACCUUCAGUGGGGUCAAUAGAACCGGAAACAUCUGUUUUUCAAGUAAAAAGACAAAGGAGGAAGAAAAACCCUUCAGAAGUCUGGACGAGUCUGGACGAGUUUAAGGGGUUACUACUAGCCUCUGGCAGGGUAGCCCUGGCCUGAUGGACCACUCGUCUGUAGACAGUCCUGGAUGACAGAAGAGGAGUAACCCCAACUGACAGACUGAACUUCAUUAUUGGGAUAGAGCUCAGAGGCUAGUAAUAGUUGUGCCAUUAGACUAGUUUAUUUUGAAGAAGAUCUAUGGAAAUGGAAAAAUACAUCUAGCCUUUUAUGAUAGAAUGACACUGCCUUUCAUCCAAGCACCUUGUCAUAAACCUAUUAUCACACAGGGAUAGUCAACAACAACAAAAACUGUGUUGAGGAAACAUUCAAAGGUGGCCAUUUUGAGCGAGGCAGAAUUCCCUCCCUUCCAGGUCAGGGCUUUGCUGUGUCUUUCAGCAGGAUUAGGUGAAGGGACGGAGGGCUGAUCAAUAAUCAGUUAUCGGUGUAGUGAAUGUAAUAAUACCGCGUCCUCCUAACCCUAACCGUUCUCACCUGUUCUAACAACUCCUCCUUGAGUCCAUCACUCAACGAAGAGGAAAUCUCUACACAGCCAUAUGCCUGGAGAUGAGGGAGUAGGUCUAUACCUCAGCUCACCUUCUCCAUCAGAGUCCCUCAUAAUCUCCACUCAGAACAGAACCAGUGGGCUGGUUGGGUCCUUAUGGGCCUCAAGGGGGCUGACUGAUGAUUUACGCUUUCCUCCGUCCAUCGGAUCUCCCCGAAGGGUGAAAAGUUAAACAGGCACUCCGCAGGGCCUCCCUCUGGGGUCCUGACAGAAAAAGGACAGCAUAUGCUACCAGGACUUGGAAUGUGGCCACUGUCCAUUUCAAGAGACAAGACUUCCCGCAGUGUGGCAACUGCUGACCCCUUUCUUGAACAAUGCAGAGACACUGGGAAGUCAUCACUAAACCCCCACACACACACACAGCCAUGCUAUGGGUAGAGCCGCCGCUGCCUCUGUGUCUCUCGACACCUGCUGGGACUUGGGAAUACUUCCUCCCCUCUUCCUCCCCCUUCCUCCCUCUUUCAUCCCCCUUUCCUCACCCCAUCACCACCCUCUCCACCAUGGAGACUGUAAGUCUCUAAAGGUAAGGAGAUUGAGUGUGUACCCAUCCAUCGCAUGCAAGACUGUGUAACUUGCAAGUGUGUGUAGCUUCCCACUUUUUGGAAGCCAACCACUCGAUUUCAUCUCUACGUUAGAUCGGCAUCGAACAUGUCACCCUCCCUUGGAGAGGGUGUGACCUCGACAAUUUAUUGUUAAAAUGAGAGGCUGCUUGGAUCUUUAAUUUAAAGUCUCAAUGUAGACUUUUAUCUUAAGCCAUUCCUGUGAUUAAUGUGAUUUUGCUAUUCAUUGUAAAUGUUUUGUAGACCUAUGUAGCCAAAUUGUAUCAAUGAUCGUAUGCUAUACAUUCAUGUUUUUUACAUGUUAUUGUUAUAUAUGAUAAUUAACUAAUGAUAUCAGGCCAAACCCGGCCAUGAUUACAGACACCUGUGUGUGUCCUUUGACACUAUAUAAACUAGUGGCCCGCAGUGUUUGUCAUUAUACCCUGAUGAAGACAGCUUGUCUGUCUAAACGUUGGAUAUUAGGUUAUUAAAUUAUUGCAUCUGAGCUCCUAGAGUUUGCGGCUCUUCUUUUUUAUGUGUAGCUUGACAAGACUUCUAAUCUUUGACACAUAUACUGGUACAGAAAAUGUAGGUACAGUAUGUAUUGAAAAGGGAGGAUGCAUACCAGACCGCUACACAUUGGUAUUGGCUGACUGUCUGGGGAGGCUGAGGUCCUGUGUUGCUAGGCAGGUUUGUGAUGAUGUGUGUUUAACAAGCCUGUCCCUUAGAAAGCUAUGGGAUAAGCUAUGGGAUGCCUCCAAAAUGGCACCCAAUUCUCUAUAUAGGGCACUACUUUUCAAAAGUGCUGUAAUACGAAGGGAAUAGGGUGCCAUUUGGGAUGCAGCCAGGGAGUCUGGUGCACUACAUGCAUCCGCCUGGCAGGUAUUCUAAUCCAUUUAAAGGGUGCUAAUCACUGCUAGCCCUUUCCUACAGUCAAAUGACCUUGUGGCCUCAUGGGUGGAAUGUUAUUCAUAUUUUUCAUAAUUUCAUAAUGAAUAAACAUGAUAAAAAAUACAAAUAAACUGAAAUGACAUUUUUUCUAUGUCAAAUAGUUUUGUUAUUGUGACGGAACAAAGGGCUGACACUAGAUCAAUAGUCAGAUGCAAACU